AGGAUGAACGCUAGCGGCAGGCCUAAUACAUGCAAGUCGAACGAGAUCCAGGAGCUUGCUCUUGGUGAAAGUGGCGCACGGGUGCGUAACGCGUAUGCAACCUACCUUAAUCGAGGGGGAUAGCCUCUCGAAAGAGAGUAUUAACACCGCAAUAAAAUCAACAAGCUGGCAUCAGCAAAUGAUCAAAUUAUUUAUAGGAUACAAGAUGGCAUGCGUGAACUAUUAGCUAGUUGGUAACGGUACGGUCUUAACCAGGCUACGAUGUCGUAGGGAUCUGAGAGGACUCCGACCCCCA
rnacentral:rRNA from 1 species